rnacentral:rRNA from 1 species
GCUUACCAUGCAAGUCGUACGAUGGAAGCCCAUAUUGCUGGGUGGAUUAGUGGCGAACGGGUGAGUAACACGUGAGUAACCUGCCCUUAACUCUGGGAUAAGCCUGGGAAACUGGGUCUAAUACCGGAUAGGAGCGUCCACCGCAUGGUGGGUGUUGGAAAGAUUUAUCGGUUUUGGAUGGACUCGCGGCCUAUCAGCUUGUUGGUGAGGUAAUGGCUCACCAAGGCGACGACGGGUAGCCGGCCUGAGAGGGUGACCGGCCACACUGGGACUGAGACACGGCCCAGACUCCUACGGGAGGCAGCAGUGGGGAAUAUUGCACAAUGGGCGAAAGCCUGAUGCAGCGACGCCGCGUGAGGGAUGACGGCCUUCGGGUUGUAAACCUCUUUCAGUAGGGAAGAAGCGAAAGUGACGGUACCUACAGAAGAAGCACCGGCUAACUACGUGCCAGCAGCCGCGGUAAUACGUAGGGUGCGAGCGGACGGUACCUACAGAAGAAGCACCGGCUAACUACGUGCCAGCAGCCGCGG